GAAGUUCGGAUGGAACUCCCUUCAGUUCAACAGUGGGCUGUUUGGGUCCAUAUCUGCUGCUGAAUCAUUCAUUCGCCCGUUCAAUCCUACGAGAAAAGGAUUGAUUGGGCGUGUGAUUGAGGCAGGAGCUGCUUUCGAUCUGUACAAUCCGUCCUUGGACUGAAGGGAGCUCCCUCUCAGGCUUCG
rfam:Marchantia polymorpha subsp. polymorpha scaffold2528, whole genome shotgun sequence.